rnacentral:rRNA from 1 species
AGAGUUUGAUCAUGGCUCAGAGUGAACGCUGGCGGCAGGCCUAAUACAUGCAAGUCGAACGGCAGCACAGCAGAGCUUGCUCUGUGGGUGGCGAGUGGCGGACGGGUGAGGAAUACAUGGGAAUCUGCCCAGUCGUGGGGGAUAACGUAGGGAAACUUACGCUAAUACCGCAUGCGCCCUUCGGGGGAAAGCCGGGGACCUUCGGGCCUGGCGCGAUUGGAUGAGCCCAUGUCGGAUUAGCUAGUUGGCGGGGUAACGGCCCACCAAGGCGACGAUCCGUAGCUGGUCUGAGAGGAUGAUCAGCCACACUGGAACUGAGACACGGUCCAGACUCCUACGGGAGGCAGCAGUAGGGAAUAUUGGACAAUGGGCGCAAGCCUGAUCCAGCCAUGCCGCGUGAGUGAAGAAGGCCUUCGGGUUGUAAAGCUCUUUUGUCCGGAAAGAAAAGCUUCGGGUUAAUACCCUGGAGUCCUGACGGUACCGGAAGAAUAAGCACCGGCUAACUUCGUGCCAGCAGCCGCGGUAAUACGAAGGGUGCAAGCGUUACUCGGAAUUACUGGGCGUAAAGCGUGCGUAGGUGGUUUGUUAAGUCUGAUGUGAAAGCCCUGGGCUCAACCUGGGAAUGGCAUUGGAUACUGGCAGGCUAGAGUGCGGUAGAGGGUAGUGGAAUUCCCGGUGUAGCAGUGAAAUGCGUAGAGAU